UGUGAGCACGUUAGUAAAAAAUAUAGAAAAAAAUGGUGAGAGCAAGAGAGAGUGAGAGAGAGAGGGAAAAAGACAGAAUUACAGGGAUUGGUAGGCACGAGGUUUACCUCAGACACAGUUCAAGUCAAGUUAUCCGUGCGGUGCUAUCGUUUAAAAGUAAAACACCAAAACGUGAUUUGUCAGCAGAACAUGUUCGAUAAAUCCAUAAGUUUGUUUUCAUAAAUACAAAGAUAACAAAAAUAUUUUUGGUAUCUUGGAGAGUAUCCAAAAAAAAAAGGAAAGAGAAGAGAAGGUUACACGUGGGCUGUCGACGACAACGACUUAACAGACAAGUGCAGUGAGUGCAUCUUUGCGCUUGACCAGUAACAACAUGGCCACUAACCAAAAAAAGAACAUUUUUUCAUCAAGAUAAAAAUAAACAUUGAAAGAAUUGUUUGAAAAAAAAUUACAAUUUUGGAUCAGGAAGGGGAUUAUCGUAAAGUCUUAGAUAAACCUCCAUUGCACAUUUAGCUGCUUUGAAGUAAAAUGGAUGAGAGC
rnacentral:misc_RNA from 1 species